AAAAUUCAUUCGACGUUCUUCACGGGAAUUACAAAAUCGUGAUCGUCGCGCGUGUGUCACGCUGCCAGCGAACGCAUUUAAUUGCGCUUAAUUCGUUCGAAUCGUUCGACUCGACGAAUCGGACGGGAUCGUCGUCGAGAUUCAAGAGCCGCAGCAUUUCUUUGCCAGCGAUUUUCGUAGAUAGGCGUACGAUGAUACGUACGUUGGUUCCUGGGCGAUCGUAGGGAUGACAGAUAUUGGAAACGCUCACCGAUAAUUAGGACGGAGUGCAUAAACAGUAUGCCCUUUCUCGAGGACGGCGCCGCGUACGACAGCGCGAAACAAAAGUUCGCCAGCUGGAACAGUAUGUGUUGCGGUUGCUGCCAGAGGCACAAGGCCGUGUUACCUGCAACGCGGUGAUCCAUCGGAAUUAGACAUGCACAGACGCGCACAGUUGUAUCAGAGAACAGAAGUGUCACCUGGGAUUUACCUAGUGCUGUGAUAUUGUACGAAGGAAGUGGGUCAUGUCCGAGACCGGGGCUCAUCUUGCCUAUCGGUGAUUGGAGUUAAAGGGAGAGGAAGAACGACUGCCUCGAGGGCGCGGCGUAUGCAUCGCGCAGGGGCGCUUGCGCCGGCCUUUCGCGAUCGAUUGUUCUUCAGGGUUGGUCAUGCAGGGUUGCUCGCCGAUGCUCCGAGGGAGGAUAUCUACCGAAGGCAAGGACAAAGUAGGACAAAGUUGCAUCGACGAUGGCAACGAGUCGCACACCAGUCGCCGAAUGUUUUAAGUUUUAUCGACGCAAGGUACUGCGACUGCUUCGAUAACUUUCAGACAGUGCAGUUCUUGCCUACGUUUAAUAACAGCCAGCUUUCCGACGAGCAAUAAUAUUCUGCUUGCCUACGUAUAAUAAUUGCCUGCGUGCAAUAAUAGCCAGCUUUCCGACAUAUAAUACAGCCCAGCUUGACUGCAUAUAAUAAUUGCCCGCGUGCAAUAAUAACCAGCUUUCCAACGUACAAUAAUAUUCAGCUAAUAAUUGGACUGCGGAUCUUCGCGGAGAAUAAACAUUUUCCAAGGCGAUUAAACGGAAAUCGAAUGGAAAUAAGUUCUUUCUUUUAAUCGUUUUCGUAGACUGAAAAUAGUACGACUAUAUUAUCAAAUUCUUCUUGUAUAUUCGUAAUUCUAUAUUUCAGAUACACUCUUUCGUCACAGAUGCACUGCAAGUGCACUGCGGUGCAAUAAUAAUGCAACCGUUGCACUUCUGUUCGUGACGAUCUGAAACACCUGAUAAAUACGAAUAAUACUUUUAUUCUAUUUUCGAGCAAUUUUUCAGUUCUUGAGAUUAAUUAAUUCGGAUGAAAUUGAAGAGAAAAACAGAGAUUUUCGUAAAGAUGUCUUUUUUAGCACUGAUCGCAGCCUCCAUUUCUUAAACAGCGUUAGAAUCAUCGCAUUUGGAUGUGAACGAUUCCAUUGAAGCAUUGAAGGAGGAAAUUGUUUGAAAAAAAUAGUGAUCUUACAGUUUUCGAGAGCAGCGAUAUCUUUCUUAAGGAUUAGGUGUAUCAGAAAGACGCGAGCGAGGGUGUCAUCCGAGGGAACAUUCUCGCAGUGGCUUACGAAUACCGGAUGCAAUUAAAUAGAGUUCGAUCGAGGGAGUUAUAAGCUUUAAGUUACCGCGGACUGGUCAGUGUGCGCAGAGUUUAUAAGGUAUGCAUAACAGGCUAUCCCUUCUAAUCCCUUUCGAAACACCCAUCCCGUGCCAUGCGUAUAAUAACCAUCGCUAAAACAACGAAUUUCUAAACCAAUUCAUGUUAUUUUGCAGUAAUAUACGAAACUCGUAGCUGACAGUUAUUAUGAAUUAUUUGCAAACACCUAUUCAUAGCUCUCAAUAAUUUAUGCAAUUACUUAGCUGGCUUAAUUAAGACGUUGGCCGUCGCAUAAAAUGUCCAUAAAUAUCAUUUUUACAGUCGUUUUCUGAUCGUCGGAUUAUCAUGUUAUUUGUUAAUCUCGAUUACAAAGCUUGUCAAGCAAGCUCCACUAAUAACAUCGAAUUAGUUAUAAUGACACUGUGUUAUUACAUCGGAUAAAUUUGCCGCGAGAAGCGCGUCACGAUCGAAUUGAUUAACACGUUACGUCCCUGAUACAUUUACAACACCUGGAAAAUGUUGAACGUACCAUACUCGCGCUGUAGUUCGCGAAGAUUCUGGGAAGCUUUCCGAAGAACAGCGUCAGCUCCGAACUUCACACGGGCUGCAGUUUUUUGCACCUGCGCCGGAUUCGAUAGCUCCCUCCGAACUGACAAUCUUGGUUCAGCAUCAGCACGUCCUGGAAAACGUUCUCUCAUUCUCGUCUCAACACGUCGCUUGUCUCAAUGCCUCGCGGUGCGUAUCGAGCUUGGAAGAGCGUUCAGCCACUCCUGCGACACUUGAACAGCGCAGACAAAACAGAUUCGGGAUUCCAACUUGCGCCGAAUCAACUGUGAUAUCUCUGAACUUUAGAAAACGAAUCCACCUUUGCAGGCUAGAGCGGUCCAAUUGCGCCAACAUCGAGAAUCAGAUUGGGUUCGUACGGCGGCCUCGGUUCCGGUUGACGAUAUCAGAGUUUGAAGAUUAUCUCCGAUGCUUCUCUGUACUUUUUCGCAAAGUAACCCAUUUAUUUUGGCUAUGAAUAAAUCAUUUGAAGCCUCAGAUCAUUUAAAGCAACUUCUUCCUUUACAAAAAUAUUCUCCGAGGCACCGUUAACG